GCCCUCGUAGCUCAACUGGUAGAGCUUGCACUGUACAAAAGUGUAGGCAGCGUCCAUGCGUGAGUUCGAAUCCCACCGGGGCG
rnacentral:tRNA from 1 species